ACCAUUCUUCAGUUUCUCUUGCAACUUCAAUACGCAUGUGUCCUAGUUUCCCAUCCAUGGUUUUCCUUACUAUUGCUCUGUGAUCACCCUCCAAACACCUAGCUGAAGGAGCAUCACCAUCAUACCUGGUGCUCGUGCUCGUGUUAAGGAAUUCUGAAAACGACAUCUGGUAGUAUAAAGGGAAAUAGGGUUACACGCGAGUGCUUUCUCAUUUGGCAACUUUCUCUGAUUUUUCUCUACGCGAGCGGCGAUUGCGACUAUCAUUUCCUUGUGAAUUCUCGUCUGUCUCCGGUA